rnacentral:rRNA from 1 species
GUGGGGAAUAUUGGGCAAUGGGCGAAAGCCUGACCCAGCAACGCCGCGUGAAGGAAGAAGGUUUUCGGAUCGUAAACUUCUAUCCUUGGUGAAGAUAAUGACGGUAGCCAAGAAGGAAGCCCCGGCUAACUACGUGCCAGCAGCCGCGGUAAUACGUAGGGGGCAAGCGUUGUCCGGAAUGAUUGGGCGUAAAGGGCGCGUAGGCGGCCCGGUAAGUCUGAAGUGAAAGUCUUGCUUUUAAGGUGGGAAUUGCUUUGGAUACUGUCGGGCUUGAGUGCAGGAGAGGUAAGCGGAAUUCCCGGUGUAGCGGUGAAAUGCGUAGAGAUCGGGAGGAACACCAGUGGCGAAGGCGGCUUACUGGACUGUAACUGACGCUGAGGCGCGAAAGUGUGGGGAGCAAACAGGAUUAGAAACCCGGGUAGUCC